rnacentral:rRNA from 1 species
GACGAACGCUGGCGGCGUGCCUAAUACAUGCAAGUAGAACGCACAGUUUAUACCGUAGCUUGCUACACCAUAGACUGUGAGUUGCGAACGGGUGAGUAACGCGUAGGUAACCUGCCUGGUAGCGGGGGAUAACUAUUGGAAACGAUAGCUAAUACCGCAUAAUAUUAAUUAUUGCAUGAUAAUUAAUUGAAAGGUGCAAUUGCACCACUACCAGAUGGACCUGCGUUGUAUUAGCUAGUAGGUGAGGUAACGGCUCACCCAGGCGACGAUACAUAGACGACCUGAGAGUGUGAUCGGCCACACUGGGACUGAGACACAGCCCAGACUCCUACGGGAGGCAGCAGUAGGGAAUCUUCGGCAAUGGACGAAAGUCUGACCGAGCAACGCCGCGUGAGUGAAGAAGGUUUUCGGAUCGUAAAGCUCUGUUGUAAGAGAAGAACGGGUGUGAGAGUGGAAAGUUCACACUGUGACGGUAUCUUACCAGAAAGGGACGGCUAACUACGUG